GACGUAGGUGGCGAACGUUAUCCGGAAUUAUUGGGCGUAAAGGGUGCGUAGAUGGCUUGAUAAGUUAGCAGUGGGAAAUCGAGGCUCAACCUCGUGGAAGCUGGUAAUACUGUCAGGCUUGAGUGCAGGAGAGGUUAACGGAACUCCAUGUGGAGCGGUAAAAUGUGUAGAUAUAUGGAAGAACACCAAUAACGGCGAAGGCAGUUAACUAUUCUGUUACUGACAUUGAGGCACGAAAAGCGUGGGGGAGCAAAAACGGAUUAGAAAACCCCGU
rnacentral:rRNA from 1 species